AACGCUGGCGGCAGCCUAAACAUGCAAGUCGAACGCUUGUCCGGCUUCGGCCGGACGGGAGUGGCGCACGGGUGAGUAGCGCGUGGGAACCUGCCCUGUUGUGGGGGAUAACCGAGGGAAACUUCGGCUAAUACCGCAUGAGCCCCGGAGCAAUUUGGGGGAAAGAUUUAUCGCAACAGGAGGGGCCCGCGUCGGAUUAGGUAGUUGGUAGGGUAACGGCCUACCAAGCCUGUGAUCCGUAGCUGGUCUGAGAGGAUGAUCAGCCACGCUGGGACUGAGACACGGCCCAGACUCCUACGGGAGGCAGCAGUGGGGAGUAUUGGACAAUGGGCGCAAGCCUGAUCCAGCAAUGCCGCGUGAGUGAUGAAGGCCUUAGGGUUGUAAAGCUCUUUCGCCCGCGACGAUGAUGACGGUAGCGGGAGAAGAAGCCCCGGCUAACUUCGUGCCAGCAGCCGCGGUAAUACGAAGGGGGCGAGCGUUGUUCGGAUUUACUGGGCGUAAAGGGCGCGUANGCGGCCCUCCUUGUCGCGUGUGAAAGCCCC
rnacentral:rRNA from 1 species